UACGUAGGGUGCAAGCGUUGUCCGGAAUUAUUGGGCGUAAAGAGCUCGUAGGCGGUUUGUUGCGUCGGCUGUGAAAUCCCGAGGCUCAACCUCGGGUCUGCAGACGAUACGAGCAAACUAGAGUGUUGCAGGGGAGACUGGAAUUCCUGGUGUAGCGGUGAAAUGCGCAGAUAUCAGGAGGAACACCGGUGGCGAAGGCGGGUCUCUGGGCAACAACUGACGCUGAGGAGCGAAAGCGUGGGGAGCGAACAGG
rnacentral:rRNA from 1 species